rnacentral:rRNA from 1 species
ACAGAUCGUUCAGAGUUUGAUCCUGGCUCAGGAUGAACGCUAGCGGCAGGCUUAACACAUGCGAGUCGAGGGGCAGCAUGACACGGAGAUUCGUCGAAGUGUUGAUGGCGACCGGCGCAAGGGUGCGUAACGCGUGAGCAACUUGCCCGCUUCAGGGGGAUAACCGGUGGAAACGCCGACUAAUACCCCAUGGCAUUGGCUGGAGGCAUCUCCGGCCAAUUAAAGAAAUUCGGAAGCGGAUAGGCUCGCGUGACAUUAGCUAGAUGGCGGGGUAACGGCCCACCAUGGCGACGAUGUCUAGGGGUUCUGAGAGGAAGGUCCCCCACACUGGAACUGAGACACGGUCCAG